ACCCAGAAGCUCAAGCUUCAGGGCUUAUCCUCAAGCCAUGACAAUAAAAUGCCAGUUAUACUGCUACUAGAAACUGCACUGACCCAUCAUUGACAACAAACAUAUAUUGACUUGGGGAAACCAAUGUAUAAUAAAAAAGGGAAAGACACCACCCAAAAAAAAAAAAAUGGUAAAAUUAUAAAGGCUCUGAGAAAGAGAGUGAGAGAAAUGCACAACCCAGAAAUGAAGUGACCUGAACUCCAUCUCCUGGAAAUAAAUGUUGAUUAUUAAUGGUAUUUUGUAAUGUGUUCUAUAGGCUUUGUCCCCAAGCAUAUACCAAUACUACAAAGCAUAUUUACGCUGGAUCUUCAAGCAUAAAUUCAUCUUUUGCCCAAGUAAAUCUUAUUCUGGUCACGGCCCAGAUCACCAGAAUACAGGUGUAUCCUGUUUCUCCUACCCACUACAGGAUCACAGGGGACCGGGCCAGAGAUCUGGCUGAAGUGCAAAUGAAUUGUGUCCAUGACAUGCCUCUAAAUUAAACUCUCAGUACUUUUGCUGAAAGAUGGAAUUAGUGAAUUCAAACUGA